UAAUAUCAAAGGGAUAAAUCACCCUUUCCCAUGGGAGGAGAUAAGUGAAGGGCUAAAGGGGACAAGAUCUCUUCAAAAUUCUCCCCAGUAUUUCUAUGAAGGCAGGCUUUGCAUAUUUCAAGAUGAGUCUGCCCUCGUUAAAGGAGAUAAUGGAGACAUUUUGGAGGAUGCUUUAAGGAGCUGACCAACAUCAUUCUAAGACAACUGAUUUCCAUCCAGUACAUGACCAAACAGGACCAAGAGGAAGGACUGUGGUUCUAGACCACCUUUCUGUGCUCCCAAUUGUGGGACUGUAGAAAAGCAGACUCACCCCUUCGGCACCUCCUGCUAGUGCCUUCCGGGAAUUAGCUCAAUUCAGCUCUGGAGCUCCCUCUGCAGGUCAGUGAUCCACCUGUCCUCUGGCCCCCAUGUC
rnacentral:lncRNA from 1 species